AGAGUUUGAUCAUGGCUCAGGAUGAACGCUGGCGGCGUGCUUAACACAUGCAAGUCGAACGAAGCACUUUAUUUGAUUUCCUUCGGGACUGAUUAUUUUGUGACUGAGUGGCGGACGGGUGAGUAACGCGUGGGUAACCUGCCUUGUACAGGGGGAUAACAGUUGGAAACGGCUGCUAAUACCGCAUAAGCGCACAGCAUCACAUGAUGCAGUGUGAAAAACUCCGGUGGUAUAAGAUGGACCCGCGUUGGAUUAGCUAGUUGGUGAGGUAACGGCCCACCAAGGCGACGAUCCAUAGCCGACCUGAGAGGGUGACCGGCCACAUUGGGACUGAGACACGGCCCAAACUCCUACGGGAGGCAGCAGUGGGGAAUAUUGCACAAUGGGCGAAAGCCUGAUGCAGCGACGCCGCGUGAGCGAAGAAGUAUUUCGGUAUGUAAAGCUCUAUCAGCAGGGAAGAUAAUGACGGUACCUGACUAAGAAGCACCGGCUAAAUACGUGCCAGCAGCCGCGGUAAUACGUAUGGUGCAAGCGUUAUCCGGAUUUACUGGGUGUAAAGGGAGCGCAGGCGGUGCGGCAAGUCUGAUGCGAAAUCCCCGGGCUCAACCUGGGAAUUGCAUUUGUGACUGCAGGACUAGAGUUCAUCAGAGGGGGGUGGAAUUCCAAGUGUAGCAGUGAAAUGCGUAGAUAUUUGGAAGAACACCAAUGGCGAAGGCAGCCCCCUGGGAUGCGACUGACGCUCAUGCACGAAAGCGUGGGGAGCAAACAGGAUUAGAUACCCUGGUAGUCCACGCCCUAAACGAUGUCUACUGGUUGUUGGGGUUUUUUAACCUUGGUAACGAAGCUAACGCGUGAAGUAGACCGCCUGGGGAGUACGGUCGCAAGAUUAAAACUCAAAGGAAUUGACGGGGACCCGCACAAGCGGUGGAUGAUGUGGAUUAAUUCGAUGCAACGCGAAAAACCUUACCUAGCCUUGACAUGCCAGGAAUCCUGAAGAGAUUCGGGGGUGCCCGCAAGGGAAUCUGGGCACAGGUGCUGCAUGGCUGUCGUCAGCUCGUGUCGUGAGAUGUUGGGUUAAGUCCCGCAACGAGCGCAACCCUUGUCACUAGUUGCUACGCGAGAGCACUCUAGUGAGACUGCCGGUGACAAACCGGAGGAAGGUGGGGAUGACGUCAAGUCCUCAUGGCCCUUAUGGCUAGGGCCUCACACGUCAUACAAUGGUCGGAACGGAGGGCAGCGAAGCCGCGAGGUGGAGCAAAUCCCAGAAAACCGAUCGUAGUCCGGAUUGCAGUCUGCAACUCGACUGCAUGAAGUCGGAAUCGCUAGUAAUCGCGGAACAGCAUGCCGCGGUGAAUACGUUCCCGGGUCUUGUACACACCGCCCGUCACACCAUGGGAGUGGGGUUCACCAGAAGACGUUUGUUUAACCGCA
rnacentral:rRNA from 1 species